CGAGGGAGCAGAGAGAGAUGGUGCUGCCCUUGAAUAAAGAAUAAUAACCUUAGAACUACAGCUGGGCCGUGACAAGUGUGGACCAGGAUGUGAGUGAAGUGGAACACUCUUGCUGAUUUAAGAUCUGCAGACCAUCUAUCCAGCAGCCAAGAGGUCACAGGAACAGACACCGAAUCAU